UGGCCCCUAUAAUAGGCCUCUCUUCCUCUGUGACUUCCUCUUUCUUUGCUGCUGCCACCAAGUUAAGUACAUCUUAUUUAUGCUUUGGCAAUAUGCGCACCAGCCA